UGUUUAUUUCUGACCUCAUCAGUAUUACAAUCAUCCUAUGAAAUAAUUAUUGAUACAGAGGCAUCAGGGGGUGUCUGGGUAGGGUGCAAAAAUAAUUUGAUAUUACAUUUUUCUAGGAGAAAAAACAAACUUGUUGCAUAAAUGUAGUUGUAACAGCAUUCAUAACUCGCUCUUUCUUUGUCAUUACAUUUUUCCUCAGGUAUGUGAUCACAAAAACAGCCUUUUUUCUUUUUUUUUAUUGUUGUUGAAUGAGGUGGACCUGUAAACUUUGUACUUUUUUCUGUGGAAAUCGCAAGCGAAUCUUUGAACAUUACGAAAGUAGCCAUAGACAUUACGGUGCAAACUGUCCACUACCCUGCAUAUACACAGACUGUGCACAAUAUUUUAGAUCUAAAAAAUCCCUGCAGAUCCAUUUGCGAGAUCAUGGGAUCAUAGAAAGUGGUUCUACUGGACUUGUUGGCUUCAAAUUAAAAUGCUCAUUAUGUGACUUUAAUGAGCAGGUUGGCCUAAAGCAAUAUAUUACUCAUCUUGGUAAACAUCUGAGGAAUAAGGAAUCAGUUAUCUGUCCUUUUAAUCAGUGUCCUUUCAAAUCAAGCAAAUUCUCUAGUUUUUCUUCACAUAAAUGCCGUUGUCACCCACAUUGUACUUUAAAAGACUUUAAGACUGAACUUAUUGUACAAGAAAGUGUAACUGAUGACUUGACAGAAAGUGAAAUAGCUGUUGAAUUGCAAUCAAAUGUUGGUGACAGUGAUAUUCCUGUGUCACUUGAGGAUUAUUCUGACAUUGAAACAGCACACCAUGACACAGCUGAAAAAAUUCAGGGAAGGCUUGGGUCUUUACUUUUGCGAAUGCAAGCAGUCUUGCAUGUUUCCAAACUAGCCACUCAGGAAAUAGUCAGUGAAUUUUAUGAAAUUGGUGUUUUGAUUGGUCACCUAAACGAGCAUACAGUAAAAAAUGUACUUGGAAAGCACUGCUGUAAUACGGAUGAAAACUCAAUAACUUUAGUAACAGAAGCUUUACACAGCCUCAGUCCACUUGACUCCAUUUCAGAAAGUGGGUGUCUGGGGUCAGACCAAAAAAGGUUGUGCUACUUCAAAGAGAAAUUUGGUGUCAUAGACCCAAUUGAAUAUGUUUUAGAUUUGCCAUCAAAGAAAACAUUUGUUUAUGUCCCAGUCCUAAAAACUCUUCAAGUAUUGUUAAAUAGGGGUGAUAUUAUUGACAAAAUUUUAGAAGAAGCAAGUACAGGAUCAAAACCUGGACAUUAUAAGGCCUCGUUUGACGGAUCAUAUUUCAAAGAGAACCCACUUCUUUCUGGGGAAAAUCAAUGCAUUUCCUUAGCUCUCUAUAUUGAUGAUUUUGAGGUCUGUAACCCUUUAGGAACCUCACGGAAAAAGCAUAAGCUGUGUGCAAUAUACUGGGUUAUAGCAAAUUUACCUGUUAAAUACAGAUCGUCAUUGUCUAGCAUAUACCUUGCUCUCUUAUGCAGAAGUGUUGAUGCCAAGACAUUUGGAUAUGAGAACAUUGUAGAACCACUUUUAAGAGAUAUCAAACUGCUUGAAAACCAGGGGAUUUACAUCAGUAGGUUGGGAACCAGUGUUAGGGGUACAGUGUUAUAUGUGUCAUCUGAUAAUUUGGGAGCACAUUCUUUUGCUGGUUUUCAGGAGUCCUUUAACGUUGAUAAGUUCUGUCGUUUUUGUUUGGCCAGUCGUAGUGAUAUUCAGAGUUGUUCAGUACAGAGUGGGUCAUUUUUAUUGAGAACCAAAGAGUCACAUAAUGAAAAUCUUUACAUGCUGAGGGAGAAUGAGAAAUUGAAAAGUAUUGACGGAGUGAAAAGAGACUGUGUAUUAAACAGAUUGUCUUACUUUCAUUGCAUAACUGGGUUUCCCCCUGACCUUUUACAUGAUCUUUUGGAGGGUAUUGUACCUUUGGAGCUGUGUUUGUGUUUGAAAAAAUUUAUCGGAAAAAAGUACUUUACGUUACAUCAUUUGAACACUGUCAUACAGCGGUUCCCUUAUAAAUUUUCUGAUAAAACUAACAGGCCACAGAAACUUUCAGAGAAAGUACUUGUGAGUGAAACUAUUGGAGGCAACGGCCAUGAGAAUUGGACUCUGUUGAGGUUGUUGCCUUUACUCAUAGGUGAUGUUGUACCUGAAAAUGAUGAUGCUUGGUGUGUAAUUCUGGAACUUAAAGACAUUGUGGAACUUUUGGCAUCCUCCACAUUUACAGAGGAAAGCUUGUGUUACCUUGAAGGCAAAAUAAGUGAACACAGAAAACUUUUACAGAAUGCGUUUCCAGGCCUGAGACUCAAGCCAAAGCACCACUUUCUGGAACACUAUCCUCAUUUGAUCCGCUGCUUUGGACCACUUGUUGAUUUUUGGACAAUACGUUUCGAAGCAAAACAUAGUUUUUUCAAAAAAGUGGUCCGUGAUGUCAAUAAUUUCAAAAACAUUCUAUUGACAUUGUCCCUCAGACACCAACUUAUGUUGGCAUACUACCUGGAUGUGCCUAAUCUGUUCAAACCAACCGUGGAAGUUAAAGGAGCAUCAAAUGUUUCCGUGGACAUUCUGACUGCCUCUGUCAAGCAAGUGAUUAAGAAGAAAUUUGGAACUCUAAGCAGUGUAUCACUGGCCACAACAGCAUUCAUACAUGGAACAAAAUAUACUAAGGGAAUGUUUGUGUCAAUUGGAAGCACAAGUGGACUUCCUGAUUUUUGUAAAGUAGUCCAUGUGUUGCUUGUAUGCAACAAGCUUUUCUUUGUUGUUGAACCUUUCUCAGCUUGGUAUCUGGAGCACCUCAGGUGUUACGAAGUCUGCAAGAGAGACCCCGCACAACUGAUCGUAGCUGAACCUGAAGAGCUCAACCACUACACCCCCUUGACAGCAUACACUGUGCAAGAGAGAUUCCUGGUUUCUCCAAAGGCGUUUCUUGUUCAUUGAGUUUGGAGCAUCACCUGGACUGGAUCACCUGGUCACACCUUCAUUGCAGCCACCGGUUAAACUCAACCAAAGAAGUUGCUGUCUGGUCUUUAGUAAUAAAGUGAGAGUCAUCAUGCUGAUGCGCAUCAUCCUGAGUAACGAAGACAUUAGAAGAGUCACCAUAGACAACUUGCCUGAAACUGUUGAUGACUUCUGCUUGCUUCUGAAGACAAAACUCGGAUUGGAUGGGGACCUUGUGGUUCAGUAUCAAGACCCCGAAUUUGAUAAUGAACUGUGUAACUUGAGCAGCAUAUCAGAGCUUCCGAAAGACAGAGUAACUUUGAAAGUGUACUACAAGUCAUACCACACAGACUCAACCCUAGAUACAGCAAGCCUGCCAUCAUCAUCAUCCCUUGAU